rnacentral:misc_RNA from 1 species
ACAAGCUCUCCAGGUAUGCAUUUGCCCAACUUGAUGUAAGGCUAGUGAGUUGUAAUUGAUUGAAUAAGAUAUCUGAGGGCCAUUGUCUGGUGUGAUGGUUUUGUAAAUGUGUUUGCAACCCAAGGGGUUGCAGUCAAAGAGCAGCCACUUGUGCAAGCAUCUGGCAAAGGGUUGAACUAGUACUCCUACAAGGACCUACUUUGGUAGGACCAGGGCAUGGUAAUUUCAUUUUGUUGAAUAAGAUGUAGACCCAAAUUAACUUUUUUGUCCUGAAAUGGUGCAUGAUAUGACUCUAGUUUGUCUGAUAUAUUGAUAAUUAACCUUUAUUGUUUUAUGCAGGAUGCCUUGAAGGCUGGUUUG